GGAAUGAAAGGAUUAACCAAAGAAAUUAUUUCUUUUUCAUAUAUAUCAAAUUUUACCUUUUAGUUAAAAGGCUAAAAUGACUCUUUUAGACAAGAAGACCCUAUAAAGCUUUACAUAUUAAAAUUUGAAAGAUUCUUAUUAUGUUUAACUGGGGCGGUGAAGAGAUAAACACUCUUAAAUUAUUAGAUAUUCUAAUAUUAAUAUCCAAAACUUUUGAAAAUCAAAUAAGUUACUUUAGGGAUAACAGCGUUAUAUAUUUAGAGAGUUCUAAUCGAAAAAUAUGUUUGCGACCUCGAUGUUGAAUUAAAUUUUCUUUAUUAUGCAAAAGUAAUAUAAGAAGGUCUGUUCGACCUUUAAAAAUUUCCA
rnacentral:rRNA from 1 species